GACGUAGGGGGCCAGCGUUGUUCGGAAUUACUGGGUGUAAAGGGUUCGUAGGCGGUGCGGCAAGUCGGGAGUGAAAUCUCUGGGCUUAACCCAGAGGCUGCUUCCGAAACUGCUGUGCUUGAGUGUGGGAGAGGCGCGUGGAAUUGCAGGUGUAGCGGUGAAAUGCGUAGAUAUCUGGAGGAACACCGGUGGCGAAGGCGGCAUCCUGGACCGACACUGACGCUGAGGCGCGAAAGCGUGGGGGAGCGAACAGG
rnacentral:rRNA from 1 species